AGCAGCUGUAUCAUGUUGAAAGCAUACUUUCUGCAUUUGAUAUUCUUCAUCACAUUCUCUAUGCGGCAUCCUUCUCUGGGAAGAGGAAAAGAAAGCACAACUUCAUAAGACAGGAGUGAUGAUACAUCUUACAUAUUUAAAUCCAAAGGCCAGAUACAUGUAAAAAAUGCCCUCAGAAAUACUCAUUCAAACCACUCUUGGAAAUACCAGCAGAAAGGACAAGAUUGCUUAUCUGUGCUAUUGAGAUUAAAAAUACCAAAACUGGUCUGUGUACCCAAGGUGCCUUGCUUAAACCCUGCUGCAAUGAAAUACUGCACAUUGGGUAGGAUACUUUCUCUUCCCAUUUGUACCAGUUUGUCAGUAAGUUAGUUAAUGCUUAUUGUACUUGGUUUGGUUUUAUAUGUAUGUAUGUAUACUCCUUUUCAUGUACAGCACCCUGGAAUUAAUGGCGCUUUAAAUGGUUACUAACUUUUCACACAACUUUGCAUAGAUCAAUAGUAAAAGUGACUUAUAAGAUAUAUCUUUGUAACUUGUAUACAGUAUGUUAUCAGAGAACAUGUCUUGUUCUCUUGGUAUCAGCUGUUUUCCUCCCCUACUUCCUAAACUAACUUUCUCUCUGAAAUGUCUAUUGAAUCCAUCUCGAGAUGAACCAGCUCACAGAAGUAUCCGAUUGCACAUCAAUAGAAGUCUAUGGAGGGAAGGAGCGAGUAGGGGUUGAUCGAGACAUAAAAAAAAUAAACAGCCACAGAGACUACACCAGCUAAAGAGACAGUUUCUAUCUCAACAAAAGUGCUUUAUCGCAUCAGUACAGGUAAAUACUAUAAUGUCCUAUAUAAUACUGGAACAGUUCAGGAGUGAGUGGAAGAAAGUUAGAAAGCAUAUUCUUCUCUACUUUCUGUGUGCAGUGUAUGGGAGCUAGUCUUUACCCACCAGAUCAGGGAGAAAUAUACACUAAAGAUUUAGAAAACAGAUGGGAAAACCGCUAAAAAUGCUAAAUACAAGUGACAUAUUGGCCAGAAAUAGUGUUAGUCCUUAUAUACAUACACUGUACUCUUGAUUAAUGCAAAGUCUGUUGAAAGGUUAGGUAUGCUUUAAAAUAAAUAAUAAUAAUCUUCCUUGAAUUUCAAAACCUUACAGGGAAGACAAAACUGAAAUUUCUGUUUUACCUGGUGUUUUUGUUCAUCAUCCACCAAAGCUACCAGGGCUCUCCUGUCACAGAUACCAGACUCUUGGUCCCUGUAUGUUUUUCUAUAAAAGGGUUGUCCCAUAUCAAAAACACUUAUGUCCUAUCCACAGGGACUCAGCGCCCCAUUCAAACGAGAGAUCCCCUUCUUGUGAUCGUCAGAGGCCUGAGCCUGAGGAGAUAAGUGUUCAUCCUGUGACAACCCUUUUAAUAUGGGCAUGACCUCCUUAUUCCAAUGGUGCUACUGGAGAUGCUAUGAUCAGCAUAAAAUAGAUGGUGGUAUCACCAAGAUUGAAGAAGAACCUUCUAAUUUAUACAGUGAGAAAACUCCAGUGAAUAAGUGAUAUUUUCAGCUCACUAGGUGCUGUAGCUUAUCACCUAAUAUACAGUAUGUGUUACAUUUUCAUAUGUGCAAUACUGAAUACACUAACAAUAUGUAUAUGAAAGCACUUUGCCUCUGAUUGUUUCCUCUUAUUGAUUAUCUGCACUGUCAAACCGUUUAAAGCUACCAAUUAAAAGGUGUAUUCGAGAAUGCACAUUGAUGGUUUAAAAUUGGGCAGAAG